rnacentral:misc_RNA from 1 species
GAUGAAGAACGUAAGCGAAAUGCGAUAAGUAAUGUGAAUUGCAGAAUUCAGUGAAUCAUCGAAUCUUUGAACGCACAUUGCGCCCAUUAGUAUUCUAGUGGGCAUGCCUGUUCGAGCGUCAUUAAGUCCACUUAAGCCCUGCUUAGUGUUGGGAGACUGCUCCAGCGGUGCUACCCUGUAGCUACCCUGCAGCUCCUCAAAGACAGCGGCGGAGUUGUGGUAUCCUCUGAGCUUAGUAACUUGUUCUAGCUUUCGAGUACACCACUUCCCCUGCCGUAAAACCCUUAAUUUUUAAUGGUUGACCUCGGAUCAGGUAGGAAUACCCGCUGAACUUAAGCAUAUCAAUAAGCGGAGGA